rnacentral:rRNA from 1 species
UUUGAAGAAAAGUGAACAAGUCUCCGUGGGGACCAGGGGGGGAUCAUACGAUUGAAACUCCACCUUUGUGAACAUCCUCGUCGUUGUUGGCGGUGGCGCUUUUUUGAAAAGCCCAAACCGCCGGAGUUCCCAAACUCGGUUUUGUUUAGUGUAUCUCGAGCCGAAAACAAAUAAUCAAAACUUUCAACACCGGAUUUUUGGGUUCGGGCAUAGAUGAAGAACGCAGCGAAAUCCGAUAAGUAAUGUGAAUGGCAGAAUUCAGUGAAUCAUGGAAUCUUUGAACGCACAUUGCGCCCGCCGGUAUUCCGGCGGGCAUGCCUGUUCGAGCGUCAUUUCAACCCUCAAGCCAAGCUUGGUGUUGGGGCACCCGGGCCGCCUGGCCGGCCCGGGGCCCUCAAGUGUAUCGGCGGUCUCGUCGGGACUCUGAGCGCAGUAACUCGCGGUAAAACGCGCCUCGCUUGGUCUUGUCUCCGGCGGGCUCCGGCCGCUAAACCCCCCCUUCUCUCCCAGAGUGACCUCGGAUCAGGUAGGUACCCUUCCC